rnacentral:sRNA from 1 species
UGAAUUGUAAGCACGAUGUAUUCACGGUC